GCUGAUGUAGCUCAGUUGGUAGAGCAACGCAUUCGUAAUGCGUAGGCCGGGGGUUCGAAUCCCUUCAUCAGCA
rnacentral:tRNA from 1 species